UAUAAAGCUAGUAAAAAGUAGAGCAAAGCUUCGAAUCUGGCAUUCUGACUCUAGAAUCUGGGCUGUUCAGUUCUGUAUUGUGACAUUCUCCAGACUGGAGCUUCUGGGGUUAAACACAGCCUUGUCUGAUAGCAAAGGGCUGGGGAGCAAGAGGAGCCAGGUGAUAUGGAGCUGCUGGUUGGAGACCCUCCUUGGAGAACCACCAUCCCAACUGAUACCAGGGGCAAGGGGUUCUGUACGCAGAACCUGGAAUAGGGCUCUCUCUUGCCAUGGGCCACAUGCCCUUAAAAACAUCAUCAGCUGGGCCAAGAAUUACACUCAAAGUAACACAAUGGAUGCGACUGCCCUACCUUUGAGCUGCUGGUAG
rnacentral:lncRNA from 9 species